rnacentral:rRNA from 1 species
CAGCCGCCGCGGGAAAACGUAGGGCGCAAGCGUUAUCCGGAAUUAUUGGGCGUAAAGAGCUCGUAGGCGGUUUGUCGCGUCUGCCGUGAAAGUCCGGGGCUCAACCCCGGAUCUGCGGUGGGUACGGGCAGACUAGAGUGAUGUAGGGGAGACUGGAAUUCCUGGUGUAGCGGUGAAAUGCGCAGAUAUCAGGAAGAACACCGAUGGCGAAGGCAGGUCUCUGGGCAUUAACUGACGCUGAGGAGCGAAAGCAUGGGGAGCGAACAGGAUUAGAUACCCGAGUAGUCCCUGUCUCUUAUAA